rnacentral:rRNA from 1 species
CAGUAGCCGCGGUAAUACGUAGGGUGCAAGCGUUAAUCGGAAUUACUGGGCGUAAAGCGUGCGCAGGCGGUCCGCUAAGACAGAUGUGAAAUCCCCGGGCUCAACCUGGGAACUGCAUUUGUGACUGCAUGGCUAGAGUACGGUAGAGGGGGAUGGAAUUCCGCGUGUAGCAGUGAAAUGCGUAGAUAUGCGGAGGAACACCGAUGGCGAAGGCAAUCCCCUGGACCUGUACUGACGCUCAUGCACGAAAGCGUGGGGAGCAAACAGGAUUAGAUACCCCAGUAGUCCCUGUCUCUUAUAC